rnacentral:rRNA from 1 species
ACGAACGCUGGCGGCGUGCUUCACCCAUGCAAGUCGAACGGAAAGGCCCUGCUUUUGUGGGGUGCUCGAGUGGCGAACGGGUGAGUAACACGUGAGUAACCUGCCCUUGACUUUGGGAUAACUUCAGGAAACUGGGGCUAAUACCGGAUAGGAGCUCCUGCUGCAUGGUGGGGGUUGGAAAGUUUCGGCGGUUGGGGAUGGACUCGCAGCUUAUCAGCUUGUUGGUGGGGUAGUGGCUUACCAAGGCUUUGACGGGUAGCCGGCCUGAGAGGGUGACCGGCCACAUUGGGACUGAGAUACGGCCCAGACUCCUACGGGAGGCAGCAGUGGGGAAUAUUGCACAAUGGGCGGAAGCCUGAUGCAGCAACGCCGCGUGCGGGAUGACGGCCUUCGGGUUGUAAACCGCUUUCGCCUGUGACGAAGCGUGAGUGACGGUAAUGGGUAAAGAAGCACCGGCUAACUACGUG